GUGGGGAAUAUUGGACAAUGGGCGAAAGCCUGAUCCAGCAAUGCCGCGUGAGUGAUGAAGGCCUUAGGGUUGUAAAGCUCUUUUACCCGGGAUGAUAAUGACAGUACCGGGAGAAUAAGCCCCGGCUAACUCCGUGCCAGCAGCCGCGGUAAUACGGAGGGGGCUAGCGUUGUUCGGAAUUACUGGGCGUAAAGCGCACGUAGGCGGCUUUGUAAGUUAGAGGUGAAAGCCCGGGGCUCAACUCCGGAACUGCCUUUAAGACUGCAUCGCUUGAAUCAUGGAGAGGUUAGUGGAAUUCCGAGUGUAGAGGUGAAAUUCGUAGAUAUUCGGAAGAACACCAGUGGCGAAGGCGACUAACUGGACAUGUAUUGACGCUGAGGUGCGAAAACGUGGGGAGCAAA
rnacentral:rRNA from 1 species